UGUGGAAUUGCUGGAUCAUAUGGUAAUUCUAUACUUAACUUUUUAAGGACCUGCCAAACUGUUUGCCAGAGCAAGUGUACCAUUUUGCAUUUCCAUCAGCAAU
rnacentral:pre_miRNA from 1 species